UCUCUUCAGAGGAAGGCAUUACUGGGUACCGGCCAAGAGGCUGUUUGGUGGUCAGAUCGUGGGCCAGGCCCUGGUGGCUGCAGCCAAGUCUGUGAGUGAAGACGUCCACGUGCACUCCCUGCACUGCUACUUUGUUCGGGCAGAGCAGAUGCCCUCAUGUGUUCUGCGUAGAUCCCCAGCUGAGAAGAGUUUGUGGACCUUUACAGUAUGUGAUUUGUAUUAAGAAAACCAUGGGGUUUCCCCCUUCAUUUUGUAAAUAUGAAAGUUAUCCCUGUAAUGGUAAAUACACUUUUUCAUACUGUCCCGUGUCUCUUACUCCUCAUCCCUGAGGAGUAUUGAUUGGCCCCCCUCUUCUCGGCCCCCAGUCACUGCUAUAAAGUAUUUGAAUACUUACCUUGGGCUCAGCCAGGUUCUUAUCUUUAUGCUAGUUGGGAGUAAAUAUGUGCUUUGUUUCUUUAAUUUGUUUGUAAGUACCAGCCUUUUGAUAUUGUAAUCCUUCCAGCCUAGUGAAAUACCUGGCUGUUUUCUUUUGUGUGGGUGGGGGCAUUACUUGAACUCUGAAUCUCUUCAUCCUGUGAUGGAAGAAUUCAAUGAGUCUUUGCCAGUAAAGUAUCUAGUGCAGGGCUUGGCAUAAUCUAGUUUUCCAUAAAUAUUAUUAGUUUUUGAUGAUUAACUUAUGGGAAUAAUUAAAAUUUGCAUGAUACAGAG
rnacentral:lncRNA from 1 species